UGAGGAAUAUUGGUCAAUGGGGCUUACGCCUGAACCAGCCAAGUCGCGUGAGGGAAGACUGCCCUAUGGGUUGUAAACCUCUUUUGUCAGGGAGCAAUUGGCGCUACGUGUAGCGUUAUCGAGAGUACCUGAAGAAAAAGCAUCGGCUAACUCCGUGCC
rnacentral:rRNA from 1 species